UAUUGAACAACGCAAAAUAAAACAUUCAGGUUCUCGUGAAAAAACGUCUGGUGAGAGGUUCGCCUUUUAGGCUGGACCCAGGACCAUCGGACUCGGAGAUCGAAAUGGAGAAGGAAGCGAACAAUCUUGGGUGCGGUGCCCCUCGGCCUACGGGCACGUGAGGGGGACCGCAAUGAUUGAGCGUACAU
rnacentral:sRNA from 1 species